rnacentral:rRNA from 1 species
GAUGAACGCUGGCGGCGUGCCUAAUACGUGCAAGUCGAGCGAACAGACGAGGAGCUUGCUCCUCUGACGUUAGCGGCGGACGGGUGAGUAACACGUGGAUAACCUACCUAUAAGACUGGGAUAACUUCGGGAAACCGGAGCUAAUACCGGAUAAUAUAUUGAACCGCAUGGUUCAAUAGUGAAAGACGGUUUUGCUGUCACUUAUAGAUGGAUCCGCGCCGCAUUAGCUAGUUGGUAAGGUAACGGCUUACCAAGGCAACGAUGCGUAGCCGACCUGAGAGGGUGAUCGGCCACACUGGAACGGAGACACGGUCCAGACUCCUACGGGAGGCAGCAGUAGGGAAUCUUCCGCAAUGGGCGAAAGCCUGACGGAGCAACGCCGCGUGAGUGAUGAAGGUCUUCGGAUCGUAAAACUCUGUUAUUAGGGAAGAACAAAUGUGUAAGUAACUAUGCACGUCUUGACGGUACCUAAUCAGAAAGCCACGGCUAACUACGUG